AUGGCGGACGUUCCAGCAACUCCCUCGUCCAGUAGAUCGGCUGCCACGACGGCUGAUUCUACUGCCCUAGCAGAUGAUCUGGCGCCUCGCGACAGAGCUACCUUGGCGGACCUUGACGCCCCCAGCCUGGCUGUUGCUGGGUCUGACGUCAUGGCGCCCGCCUCCCCGUUCAUGACUUGGUCUCCGCCCACAGCUUCUGCUUCGCCUUCUACACCAACGACAUCGACCACUCCGUCGUCCCCGCCUGCGCCUCGUCCGGUGCUGCCACCGGCGGCCUCGCAUCAGAUGGUGACCCGGCUCAAGAAUAAUGUCAUCAAGACGCUGAAACCGUCAGAUGGCACUGUUCGGUACGACCCGCGCCGUCGUGCGUUCCUUCCCGUGCCCACCUCGUCACGCCAGGCCCUCUCUGAUGAACGGUGGCGUGCCGCCAUGCUCGAAGAAUUUCGUGCACUUCAAGCAAAUAACACGUGGUCACUUGUUCCUCGGCCUCCCCGUCAAAAUGUCAUCGGUUGUAAAAUGGGUGUUCAAGGUGAAAGAGCAUCCCGAUGGCACCAUUGA
rnacentral:rRNA from 1 species